UACAGAGGUCUCAAGCGUUGUUCGGAUUCAUUGGGCGUAAAGGGUGCGUAGGCGGCGCGGUAAGUCGGAUGUGAAAUCUCGGAGCUUAACUUCGAAACUGCAUUCGAUACUGCCGUGCUUGAGGACUGGAGAGGAGACUGGAAUUUACGGUGUAGCGGUGAAAUGCGUAGAUAUCGUAAGGAAGACCAGUGGCGAUGGCGGGUCUCUGGACAGUUCCUGACGCUGAGGCACGAAGGCCAGGGGAGCAAACGGG
rnacentral:rRNA from 1 species